UUGUCCAUAGUUUGUAGGAGAGGGCUAGUGUGCGGGUGAUCGAUGGUCGGCGUGGACUCGGUGGG